CGGAAGACCAAGGGUUCCUGUCCAACGUUAAUCGGGGCAGGGUGAGUCGACCCCUAAGGCGAGGCCGAAAGGCGUAGUCGAUGGGAAACGGGUUAAUAUUCCCGUACUUGGUGUUACUGCGAAGGGGGGACGGAGAAGGCUAUGUUGGCCGGGCGACGGUUGUCCCGGUUUAAGCGUGUAGGUGUGUGUUCCAGGUAAAUCCGGUUCACUUUAACACUGAGGCGUGAUGACGAGGCACUACGGUGCUGAAGCAACAAAUGCCCUGCUUCCAGGAAAAGCCUCUAAGCAUCAGGUAACAUCAAAUCGUACCCCAAACCGACACAGGUGGUCAGG
rnacentral:rRNA from 1 species